AGGGAUAUAGCUCAGUUGGUAGAGUUUAUGCCUUACAUGCAGAAGGCCCUGGGUUCAAUCCCCAGUACCAUUA